GCAAGUCGAACGGGCGUAAGAGGAGAGGCUCUCAACUUAAGUUAGUGGCGGACGGGUGAGUAACGCGUGGGUAACCUGCCCUAUGCAGGGGGAUAGCAGCUGGAAACGGCUGACUAAAACCGCAUAACACGGCAGCACCGCAUGGUGCAGCCGUCAAAUAUUUAUAGGCAUAGGAUGGGCCCGCGUCUGAUUAGCUAGUUGGUGGGGCAACGGCCUACCAAGGCGACGAUCAGUAGCCGGCCUGAGAGGAUGAACGGCCACAUUGGGACUGAGACACGGCCCAGACUCCUACGGGAGGCAGCAGUGGGGAAUCUUCCGCAAUGGGCGCAAGCCUGACGGAGCAACGCCGCGUGAAGUGAGGAAGUUCUUCGGAACGUAAAGCUCUGUUGUUCCUGACGAACCUCCCCUCUAUGAACAACGGAGGGGACUGACGGUAGGGAACGAGGAAGCCACGGCUAACUACGUGCCAGCCGCUGC
rnacentral:rRNA from 1 species